UACGUAGGGUGCGAGCGUUGUCCGGAAUUACUGGGCGUAAAGAGCUCGUAGGUGGUUUGUCGCGUUGUUCGUGAAAACCGGGGGCUUAACCCUCGGCGUGCGGGCGAUACGGGCAGACUUGAGUACUGCAGGGGAGACUGGAAUUCCUGGUGUAGCGGUGAAAUGCGCAGAUAUCAGGAGGAACACCGAUGGCGAAGGCAGGUCUCUGGGCUGACACUGACGCUCAUGCACGAAAGCGUGGGGAGCAAACAGG
rnacentral:rRNA from 1 species